GACGAACGCUGGCGGCGUGCCUAAUACAUGCAAGUCGAGCGAAUGACGAGAAGCUUGCUUCUCUGAUUUAGCGGCGGACGGGUGAGUAACACGUGGGCAACCUGCCCUACAGAUUGGGACAACUCAGGGAAACCUGGGCUAAUACCGGAUAAUCCUUCGAAUCACAUGUUUUGAAGUUGAAAGGCGCUUCGGCGUCACUGUAGGAUGGGCCCGCGGUGCAUUAGCUAGUUGGUGGGGUAACGGCCUACCAAGGCAACGAUGCAUAGCCGACCUGAGAGGGUGAUCGGCCACAUUGGGACUGAGACACGGCCCAAACUCCUACGGGAGGCAGCAGUAGGGAAUCUUCCACAAUGGACGAAAGUCUGAUGGAGCAACGCCGCGUGAGUGAUGAAGGUUUUCGGAUCGUAAAACUCUGUUGUAAGGGAAGAACAAGUACGUUAGGAAAUGAACGUACCUUGACGGUACCUUAUUAGAAAGCCACGGCUAACUACGUGCCAGCCGCCGCCGUAA
rnacentral:rRNA from 1 species